rnacentral:rRNA from 1 species
CCACAAUGGACGAAAGUCUGAUGGAGCAACGCCGCGUGAGUGAAGAAGGGUUUCGGCUCGUAAAGCUCUGUUGGUAGUGAAAGAAAGAUAGAGGUAGUAACUGGCCUUUAUUUGACGGUAAUUACUUAGAAAGUCACGGCUAACUACGUGCC